UGAGGAAUAUUGGUCAAUGGGCGGAAGCCUGAACCAGCCAUGCCGCGUGCAUGACGACGGCCCUACGGGUUGUAAACUGCUUUUCCGGGGGAAGAAUAACCCCCCUGCGGGGGGGAUGCCGGUACCCCGGGAAUAAGGAUCGGCUAACUCCGUGCCAGCAGCCGCGGUAAUACGGAGGAUCCUAGCGUUAUCCGGAUUUACUGGGUUUAAAGGGUGCGUAGGCGGGCGUUUAAGUCCGCGGUGAAAGUCUGCGGCUCAACCGUAGGAUUGCCGUGGAUACUGGACGUCUUGGAUUCGGUCGGGGCGGGCGGAAUGCGUGGUGUAGCGGUGAAAUGCAUAGAUAUCACGCAGAACGCCGAUAGCGAAGGCAGCUCGCCGGGCCGAAAUCGACGCUGAGGC
rnacentral:rRNA from 1 species